UACAGAGGGGGCAAGCGUUGUUCGGAAUUACUGGGCGUAAAGGGCGCGUAGGCGGCCUUCUAAGUCGAACGUGAAAUCCCCGGGCUCAACCUGGGAACUGCGUCCGAUACUGGAAGGCUUGAAUCCGGGAGAGGGAUGCGGAAUUCCAGGUGUAGCGGUGAAAUGCGUAGAUAUCUGGAGGAACACCGGGUGGCGAAGGCGACAUCCUGGACCGGUAGUUGACGCUGAGGCGCGAAAGCCAGGGGAGCCAAAC
rnacentral:rRNA from 1 species